AUUGAACGCUGGCGGCAGGCCUAACACAUGCAAGUCGAGCGGUAGAGAGGUGCUUGCACCUCUUGAGAGCGGCGGACGGGUGAGUAAUGCCUAGGAAUCUGCCUGGUGGUGGGGGAUAACGCUCGGAAACGGACGCUAAUACCGCAUACGUCCUACGGGAGAAAGCAGGGGACCUUCGGGCCGUUCGCGCGUAUCAGAUG
rnacentral:rRNA from 1 species